rnacentral:rRNA from 1 species
UACGGAGGGUGCGAGCGUUAUUCGGAAUUACUGGGCGUAAAGCGCGUGUAGGCGGGGAGAUAAGUCUGAUGUGAAAGCCCUGGGCUUAACCUGGGAAGUGCAUUGGAAACUGGUUUUCUUGAGUACUGGAGAGGAAGGGGGAAUUUCCGGUGUAGAGGUGAAAUUCGUAGAGAUCGGGAGGAAUACCAGUGGCGUAGGCGCCCUUCUGGACGGUAACUGACGCUGAGACGCGAAAGCGUGGGGAGCAAACAGG